rnacentral:SRP_RNA from 1 species
ACUGGGCGCGGUGGUGCGUGCCUGUAGUCCCAGCUAUUCAGGAGGCUGAGGUGGGAGGAUCGCUUGAGCCCAGGAGUUCUGGGCUGUAGUGCUAUGCCGAUCGGGUGUCCACACUAAGUUCAGCAUCAAUAUGGUGACCUCCUGGGAGCGGGGGACCACCAGGUUGCCUAAGGAAGGGUGAACCGGCCCAGAUCGGAAAUGGAGCAGGUCAAAACUCCUGUGCUGAUCAGUAGUGGGAUCACGCCUGUGAAUAGCCACUGCAUUCCAGCCUGGGCAACAUAGCAAGACCCCAUCUCUU